rnacentral:lncRNA from 1 species
GCACCAUUGUAUAACAUACAUACAAAAACAUAGAUUAAAACAUUGUUAUCAAAACAUGAUACUCUAAAAAUAAAUCAGAAAGAGGUUCCUUUUAAAAAUUGCACAUCGUUUUAUUGAGACAUGUGAGACAGGGACUAUGAGUGAUAUGUUAACAGCUAAGCAGUCAACACAUUAUAAUACUUAAAAUGUAUUUCUCCAUUCUCACUGGGAACAAACUUUUAUACAGCAGGUAUAGAUGAAAAUCAAUCUGAAUAAGUAGAACUCCUCACAAACAUGACUAUUUGUACAACCAUAGAAAUUUAAUGAAACAAGAAUGUGUCCAUAGCACAUUGAUUCCCCAAAAGGUACUAUCAUUUUUUAUGUACUGUGGGCGGUGAAAUUGGAAUAAUCUCAAUUUGGCAUCAAGACUACAUAGAUUAUAUUGGGAACAUGUGUACGAAGUUUAAAGUUGAUUGGACUUCAAUUUUAUGAAAAACUAUGUAACUGAAGUGAGACAGGAAAAUGACCAGAAGAAUGAAUGAACAAACCAACAGAGCAGAAAACAUAAUGCCCCUCUACUAUAGUAGGGGUGUAUGUUUGGCAUAAAAGUAAUAUAUGUAAAACAUACUCCCUCUCCCUCUCAAAAAUAUAACAGCAAAUAGGAUCUAUUACAGGUUGGGUUUUGGAAUUGAUGCAAGUUUGUUUGGACUCUUUAAUAACAGGGCGAAAUAUUAUUCCCAAUUCACCCAUUUUUUUUUUAAAAAAGAAGACAUCAAACAGCUAAUAAAGUUAGGACCAAAAUAGUUCUUAACAGAAAUGAGAUCAAGCAAUCAGCAGGCAAUAUCACAUCUUAUCAUACAAACUACAGGUUUAUCAUGUACAUAUAACAAUAACAACAACUUAA